ACUGAGAAGGCAGAAAAACUCCAUGCUGCUAUGAAAUACGCUGUUCUCCAGUUAGCACACGAUUAAGAGUUUUCUAUGAACAUUGGUGAAAGCUGCUGUUAGCAGUGAACCACAAACGAGUACCUACCUCGAAGACGCCGAAGUUGGUCGUAGGAGAAGCUCAGUCACAGUGUUUUCCUCAACUUUUAGAACUAUUCUGGGACGAUGCUGUCUGUGCCAUGUGAGGAACUGCUUCACCGUGGUCCAGGACUUCAUUGCUGUUCGUGGAUGACAUCGACACAAGGAUGCUUGCCGUACCAGGAGGGCGGGGGAGUCAGUUGACCGAGUGGGUUGAGGCCAACCAUGAUUAAGCCGUGUGUUACGGUCAUCGCCACCCACCUGAAGAUAAUCACUGACUCCUGGAGUGUGAAUCAGUGGACAGAAUCUCAGACGAGGCCAACUCAUCCAGCCACUGAUGUUGUUUCAUUACCACCUGUGCCGUGGUGCGAACAGAAAAAUCGCUUCCCUCUGGCUCGGACUGAUUGCCGGUGGAAACAGUCCCGUUUGAUUCAAAAGCUGGAAGUCAUAUCGCUCCUCAAACCCUCCCGUUGUUUCUUAAAGACAUGAUUAUGGCACUGAUUCAUCACUGGACUGUGGUUGCAGUGCAGGCGAGCAGAAUCUUUUACAGUCGUGUAUUUUAUUUUUCUUUCAUCUCUAAAUCUCCUGAACGACCAGCAUUAUAAAUAUAUCCCACUACAAAGUGCUGCAUAGCCACAGACUCAUACAUAGUAGGUUAUGUGUCAUGCCUUCGAGCUCCACUGCUCAAAAUAUAUUAAAAACACUUAAAACAA